rnacentral:rRNA from 1 species
GACGAACGCUGGCGGCGUGCUUAACACAUGCAAGUCGAACGAGAGCGUAGAGAAAGCUUGCUUUUUCUACAAUCUAGUGGCAAACGGGUGAGUAACGCGUAAACAACCUGCCCUACGGAUGGGGACAACAGCUGGAAACGGCUGCUAAUACCGAAUACGUUCCGAAAGUCGCAUGACUAUCGGAAGAAAGGAUGGCCUCUAUUUAUAAGCUAUCGCCGGAGGAGGGGUUUGCGUCUGAUUAGCUAGUUGGAGGGGUAACGGCCCGCCAAGGCGACGAUCAGUAGCCGGUCUGAGAGGAUGAACGGCCACAUUGGAACUGAGACACGGUCCAGACUCCUACGGGAGGCAGCAGUGGGGAAUCUUCCGCAAUGGGCGAAAGCCUGACGGAGCAACGCCGCGUGAGUGAAGACGGCCUUCGGGUUGUAAAGCUCUGUUAUACGGGACGAAUAAUCUUGUGGUUAAUACCCAUGAGAAGUGACGGUACCGUAAGAGAAAGCCACGGCUAACUACGUG